rnacentral:rRNA from 1 species
GAAGCGGAAAGAGUUUAAAGAAGGUGAACCUGCGGAAGGAUCAUUA